AUCCAUCCAUCCAUCCAUCUAUCUAUCUAUCUAUCUAUCCAUCCAUCUAUCCAUCUAUCUAUCUAUCUAUCUAUCUAUCCAUCUAUCCAUCUAUCUAUGGGGUCUCAAAAUGGAGGAUUUGAAAAUGUGGUCCUUUGUUCCAAAGACCAAAGAGAACUCAGAUCCUUCACCUUGUUUACCGAAAUGUUGUUGGAAGAACUUCUCAGAUUAGAUAUUGUUGUUUCAAUUUGUUCUCUUUUAAAUGUUUCUUAAAUAUUCAGUAUGAUCUAUUUAAUGUUGCAUAAGAGUGAGUGUUGCCAACCUCUGACCGGUAGAACUCCAAAUCCUUCAACCUCUGCUAACUACCAAUACGGUUGUAAUUAUUAAUCAGAAUUCCAAAUUGAUUUGAAUUUUUCCUACUCACAGGAUGAACAUAUCAGCCUGUGAUCGUCUGAACAGCAGCCAAUCCAAAGCUUCUUUGUAUUUAAUAUUUAUUAUCAAGUUCAUGAAGUUGAGUGGAAUGAGAAAACGAAAAACUCCUAACGGUGGAUAUGUUGGAUUCCGCCCCGUCAGUCAGCAGUCGGCGGGUCGACUCUCUCCGCGGGUCGCUGCAGACUGAAACGGUAACUGAAACCACGACUGGAAGAAGAACCAGUCCAGCAUGUACGGCCGUCAUGUAAUCUGAGCUCUUAAUUUGAACAGUACAAAGCAAUAAAGUGGAUCAUUAAUAUGGCCCCCGCCCUCGCACAGUCUGUUCUUCUUCUCUGGCCCGUGUAGCCUGCGAUGGUUUUUCCAGUGUGACUGUGCGGCCAGCAGCACCUUUCAUCCCGCUCAUCUGCGCGUGUCUCGUCUGCCCACUCUUUCCCCUGCAGCCGUCCAAACGGCUCCGUGGAGAGCGUUCAGUGACGGGGCCCAGAUGAGGUGAGCCGCCCCGGGCUCCAGCACAUUCAUCCCAAAUGUUUUUAUCAGCUGCUAAAUGGGAUUCCUGCGCUCGGCUAAAUGACCUAAUAUAUAUCGUGCUGCGUCCGUCCUGCAGUGAAACACGAGCGCAGGGGUUUCUGUUUACAGCUGCCUCACCAAGAUGAGUAACGCAGUGUGAGAUUUUAUUGGUCCCGCCGGACACGUUGUCUUUUCCAUUGGCUGCUGCCCUCAGAGAUCAGAGGCUGCUUCCUCAAAGACUCAGAGUUAAAACACUUUUCAGACCUGCGUCGACAUCCGUCCCACAAGUGGACAGGUGUGAACGCACCUGAGACCCGAGACGCUGAGCGGUGGUCAAAUCCUCAUGAUCGCCCCCUGGUGUCUGGCUGCAGUAUAGGUCACAAGCCCCGCCCCCUCCAUGCUAGAAGAGGGGAUAUCAAAGUAGACGUUAAACAAAUGUUUCCAAAGAUGGUUUCUGUCAUUUGAGGUCAUUAUAGCGAGAUAAUGAGCGAGGCGCCCUGAGGUGAAGAUGUUUUCUGUCCCUCCCCUCCUCGACAACCUGAAAAAGAAACAACACAGAAAUAUGUAUCUAUGUAUUUGCGAUGGUGUGAGCUGUCUGACACGAUUUCCAUAUUCUACAAAUUUAACCGAUUUAGCCUCAGUUUCACUUCCAGGAAAUCUCCUCGCAUGGCCAAGCUGCAGCGGAUGAGCCAUGUGUCCCGAGGCUCAUCGGAUGACCAGCGAGGCAGAAACUCAUGAAGAAAAUCUAAACGUGUUAACGAAAUCUUCAAGUCGUUAAUGAAGGCGAACAUCCGUUUCCUGAAAUAAACGACCAGACAACAGAGGCGACUCUUCCAGGGAGGAAUCGGGGAAAUGGCUCAUGAAUAACUUGUUGUAAUUAAAGGGGAAAGCGGCUCUCGUCUUACGUAAGACGUCCUCACGAUCUGCCUCAUGUCACAGGACGACCGGACGUCUGCUGCUUCACAUGUUCACAGGAUGUGAAAGUAAAUACAAACUCCGUCAAGUGUCGUCCAGCCUGUGGAAAUGACGGCGUCCUCCUUCACCUGCCGCCAUUUUUAAUCACCUGGACACUGACGCCGGUGUGAACACAUCUGUGUUGUCCAGAAUACCUAAACUGUGUUUUAGACGUAUGAGAAGCAUUAGCUUCUGAAAACCAUGUUAGCAGUAAGAAAGAGUAAUGUGUUCCCAGAGGAUUGAGUUUCUGUAGGUUCCACUUCACCAUUCGUUGAGUGAAAAUCGUCAUCAUCUCAUUUCCUGAGCGGUAAAUGUCCCCGAGCGCCCGUCACGUCGCAGCGACCAGACGUGACGGGCGCUCGGUCCUCGGACGCCGACCUCCACCGCUAAUGGAGGCCACGGUGAAAAGAGCCGUGUCUGGUGGCUGCGACUGAACCUCCGUCUGUCGGCCCGCUGACAUUUACACACAGUCGCCAUGUGGACUGGAUUUAGCCUGAGCAGAUCUGAGUGAACGUUUCGGAGAGGAAGGAAACAUGGAGGGACCGACAGCGCCGAGUCGGUGACUCUGCUCUACGCUGCAGCCGCUGCACAUUCAGAGUCUCAACCCACCUACAUUUCUCUCGGUUCACACUGCUCACUGGGUGCGGACGCUGACAUUGUCCUGCAGGUGAUCAGGUGGAAUCCAAUCUCCUCGUUCCUUCAAUCCCGUCUUAUCUGCUUGUUUGUUGUUGGAGGCCCGCGGCAGGACCCGGUGCACCCGUGGCCGCUCGGCCCGCAGCCUGUUGUUGGUCCUAAGACCCGUGGGAGGCGAUCAGUGGCCCCGGCCGGUCCCACCCCGCCUCUCCACAUGGAUGUGUUGAUCCAGAUGUCAGCCAAACACCCGCAGUACAACAAAGAGAGCAGGACUUACCUCCAAUCCCUCGACCUGUUGACAAUAGCUGCCAGUGCUACUGUGGGAAUGUGCAGUGUUAUGGUGAGACCGUCCGGUUCCCCGAUCCAGGCCUCCAGCUGAUGCCGCUCCGCACUUUCAUCACAAGACGUUUAGAUUCAUUUUGUGUAAAAGGAGCAAAAAUGUGUCUUUAUGUAUUUUGUUCAGGCUUCACAUUCUGUCAUCUCGGAAUUACUUCCAAGAAAUCUGGAAAGCAUCAUCAUCAUCAUCAUGACGUCCACUGUGUAGCUGCUGGACCUUUUGAUCACGUCACUUGAUCUUCAUCUCAGAGCACUGAAGAUCAUGUGAUACGCUCGAAAGCUCCAGAACAGUUUCUUAAAGACCUAAUCUCGUUUCCUGAUGUGAAAUAGAUUGUGAUUUCAGAGGAAAUUUCUGUCAAAGAUCUGCUCCAGCUAAACCCAACUAUUAAUACAUUACUUAUUUACUUACUGGGAUUCAUUCCUUCAUUCGUUCAUAUGUGUUCUCCGAGAUACUUUAUAUGUCCAAGAUAUCUUUAAUUGCAGGUGAGCGAGUCAAAGGGAUAUUUUACCGGCAGCAAGACGUUUUUCUCGCUUUCUUCUUUGGUAAAGUCGCUCAGUCCAGGCUGGAACACUGACCACAUCACCAAGACCAGGCUCUAUCGCUACAUUGCUAACAUUAGCAUUCGCGGUAGUUUGUUUUCGAAUCUCUCAGAAACUUCAUGAGUUCCUUUUCUCACCACGUUCUGUCUCCAGAGGUCAAGACGACAUCGAUGUUGACUCUUGUUUUCUUCUCUCACAAACUACUUAGCAACCUCUGGUCUGGUGGUUGAGAUCUUGGCGAGCGACGUCAUCGCGGCCCCUUCAACAUGUGUAUUGAUUAUUGGCUGAUUCCAGUCGGCACCUGAUCGAUCGAGACGUCUCUGGGCGUUUCCCUGUGUGUGUGUGUUGGGUGAUCGGGGUGGUGGCCCUGUGGGAAUGUUUCUGCGUUGAUCUGUCCAAUCUGUGAUACACUGACUUACUGUCCUCGGAAGGGAACUCCGGGCCCUGAUCGGCCGGCUUUAAGGCUUAGCUCCUCUAAUGUGCUCCAGACCCGCCGGCCCUUCCCUCCAGAGAGGGGCCGCGAAACGCCCCAUCAGCACAUCCAGCGCCUGGCCGUCCUCCAGCGCCUUCACCCUCUGCACCUCCGGUUGUUUGCUCAGGAGUCCGGUGGGUCAGAGCGGUGUCGUCUCCGGCUGCCGAGGAGGGUUACACCAAUACGUGUGUUUGAUUACACUGCGCCGUAAUUAAAAGGAGACAUCAGCGAGUCCGUGUCGUCCUGUACGGUUUGAUUCGACGAGUGAUUGUUUCAUCAUCAAAUCAAUCUGAUGACUAUUUCCCGAUGAUUUGUUUUGUCAGAUGUCAGAUGUCAAGUGAUCCGUCACCUUCUGAUCUCAACAGCUGCUUCAUUGGUUCAUCUGAUGAUUAUUUCCUCAGUUAAUUGUUUGCUCUGUAAAAAUGAAAUCUGACAAAGUUGCUGAAUUGUAUUAUUUCUGUCAGUGAAGCGGGACGAGGUCUUGAGCUCGUGUUAAAGUGUCGGAUCGAAGGUUUUUUGAUUCCAUGAUGACGUCAGAGAACUGUUGUGUCUUCUCAGUGCUGUUCAGCGCCCUCCAGAGGCCGGAGGGGGAACAGGUUGAGUCCAGGAUGGUUCGUCCCGACGUGUCUGUUCUACAUGAACCGUC